UAUGCAGUCGUAACGGGUAACCGUAUUGCUCUGUGGAUCAGUGGCGAACGGGUGAGUAACACGUGAGUAACCUGCCCUUGACUCUGGGAUAAGCGUUGGAAACGACGUCUAAUACCGGAUAUGAGCUGAGACCGCAUGGUCAUCAGUUGGAAAGAUUUUUUGGUCAAGGAUGGACUCGCGGCCUAUCAGCUUGUUGGUGAGGUAAUGGCUCACCAAGGCGACGACGGGUAGCCGGCCUGAGAGGGUGACCGGCCACACUGGGACUGAGACACGGCCCAGACUCCUACGGGAGGCAGCAGUGGGGAAUAUUGCACAAUGGGCGAAAGCCUGAUGCAGCAACGCCGCGUGAGGGAUGACGGCCUUCGGGUUGUAAACCUCUUUUAGUAGGGAAGAAGCGAAAGUGACGGUACCUGCAGAAAAAGCACCGGCUAACUACGUGCCAGCAGCCGCGGUAAUACGUAGGGUGCAAGCGUUGUCCGGAAUUAUUGGGCGUAAAGAGCUCGUAGGCGGUUUGUCGCGUCUGCUGUGAAAACUGGAGGCUCAACCUCCAGCCUGCAGUGGGUACGGGCAGACUAGAGUGCGGUAGGGGAGAUUGGAAUUCCUGGUGUAGCGGUGGAAUGCGCAGAUAUCAGGAGGAACACCGAUGGCGAAGGCAGAUCUCUGGGCCGUAACUGACGCUGAGGAGCGAAAGCGUGGGGAGCGAACAGGAUUAGAUACCCUGGUAGUCCACGCCGUAAACGUUGGGAACUAGAUGUGGGGGCCAUUCCACGGUCUCCGUGUCGC
rnacentral:rRNA from 1 species